rnacentral:lncRNA from 1 species
GGCUUCUCUGGUGGGGAGAGGGUCCAGAAAGUCUUAAAUAACUUUUUUUUAAGAAAAAUAAAAUAUAACCCCACCACAAAACAGACAAGAACAGCAGAGAAAUUUGUGUCCACCGUCUUCAAGACUUAGGAAAUGAGCAUCAUCAAAGAACAAACAAAAAAGUCCACAGCUCAAGUGUCAACAAGAGGUUCUGCAGCUGAGGAUGGCAGUAGAUGGGGGCUGGCUGGCAGGUGUAGCCCACAGAAGUGUUACUGUGCAGCUUUAACAUCAACACCAUGACAGCAGCGCCAGAGGUGGCAGACAGAUAACAAAGACAUUAAUUACAUCAGCCAUGCCAGGUGGGCUCCCUCUACAGAAACUCAGAAAGUGGAGAUAAGAGCCAUAAGCUCCUCCUGAGGUUCAGAGUGAGAGGAAACCAACACCCCUACCACCCUCACAUGCCCUCAGACAAUCUGGCAAAACAGCAGGCUGUCCAUCAUCCAAGGAGGAAAACUGGUCCCGAUGUGCUCAGGGCCAUAAAAGAGUGGGGUUGAUGCCAGCUAUAAAAUGACAUGAGGCAGCUUAAGGGCCUACGCAGGUGAUCACAGCUAGAAAGUAUAGGUUUUCAUGAAACAUCCUGAAAAGUCCAAAUUCCUGAUUCUGGAAUCCACAGCGCUCUGAUGAAUUCCAGCCUCAUUUCUCAGCUGCCUCCUUCCCUAAACUCACUAGUCUCUUUUAGCUCCCAGGGUCCUCUGUCUGUAUGAUAGGCAUUAUCAGAUUGUAUCACAUUGCUUACCUGCUGAAUUUACACACCUGCCUGGAAGAUCCUUAAAGGUAGAAACUAUAUCUCAUUUAUUUUUUAAAUUUGGCACAUGGUAGGACAAAUAGAGCUUCCCUAUUCUGGCCCAUGGAGUAAGUUCUCGAAACUUUUUUGUUGUUGAAGGAAGGAAAGAGGAAGGAAGGAAGGGAGGGAGGAAGAAGGGAGGGAAGCAAGGAAAGAAGAGAUUCCAGUCAUUCUUCGUAGGUAAUAGGCCACUCCAGCAAGAAGCAUGGCUGUUGGGGUGGACACCAUUCACCAGGAUCCUCAGUUGACAGACGUAAAGCAAAUCUUUGCUCAUACAGCCUUCAGCUGCACAAGGGACCAUUAACUGUCUCUCUUUCUGUUCCCUGUCAAUCACUCCCCUAGGUGCACCCAUGCCUUUC